AACAGUGAGAAAGAUUAACCAAUGGCACACUUGAUUCUCAAUCACUACUCACUUGAUGCAAUCAAUAAGAUAGUUUCCUUGAUCCACAUCCAAGACUGAUAUGAACCACACAUGCCCCUCCAUGAAUUAGGAAUGAAAGAACUCUACCCAUGUAAAUGGCACAAAUUGAAAAACAACCAUUAUAAAAGUAAAGGCAUUAUAGAUCAAAGAAGGCUCAAUGGCUGAGUAAUAACUGAGAGACAACACGGUAAGGGUAGCUCUUUUCUUUCAACAACUCUUACCACAAAGGUUAUAAAUCUUAUAAAAGAUAAAUGAGAAGAAUCGAACUCGAUAUCUCCCCACUCACUGCAUGAUAACAAUCAAGCUACCGCGUGAUUGGCAAAUUAAUGAUAUUUAAAUAAAUGUGAUUUUAUACAACGUGACCCAAGUUUUAUAUAAGCAAUCAGAAUAUUAAAUCAUAAUCAGCCACCCAAGAUAGUUCCCCAAAGUCUAAUGUGCCAAUAGCUAAUUAGAAAAGGCAUCUUGUUCAUUCAUGACUCCAGCAAGACAAAGGCAAUUUAAAACAAGAAGCAGCUUGUUAUAACAAGCACGAAAAUUUAAGACAUACACACAAAUCGCACAAUCAUACAAUAUUGAAAAGAGAAGAAGAAUAACGUGGUUCAACCAUAAGGUCUACGUUCA
rnacentral:misc_RNA from 1 species